rnacentral:rRNA from 1 species
UAAGCAUAUCAAUAAGCGGAGGAAAAGAAACCAACAGGGAUUGCCCCAGUAACGGCGAGUGAAGCGGCAACAGCUCAAAUUUGAAAUCUGGCCCCUCGGGGUCCGAGUUGUAAUUUGUAGAGGAUGCUUUUGGUGAGGUGCCGCCCGAGUUCCCUGGAACGGGACGCCACAGAGGGUGAGAGCCCCGUCUGGCUGGCCACCGAGCCUCUGUAAAGCUCCUUCGACGAGUCGAGUAGUUUGGGAAUGCUGCUCAAAAUGGGAGGUAUAUGUCUUCUAAAGCUAAAUAUUGGCCAGAGACCGAUAGCGCACAAGUAGAGUGAUCGAAAGAUGAAAAGCACCUUGAAAAGAGGGUUAAAUAGUACGUGAAAUUGUUGAAAGGGAAGCGCUUGUGACCAGACUUGGGCGCGGCGGAUCAUCCGGGGUUCUCUCCGGUGCACUUCGCCGCGUCUAGGCCAGCAUCAGUUCGUCGCGGGGGAAAAAGGUUUCGGGAACGUGGCUCCUCCGGGAGUGUUAUAGCCCGUUGCAUAAUACCCUGCGGUGGACUGAGGACCGCGCAUCUGCAAGGAUGCUGGCGUA